CGAUAAAAAAAAAAUCUGUUCUGUUAUUGUUUCAUGACAUCAUCCGGUGGACAUCGGGAAGCCAUAUAGGAAGUACUGAACAGAACCGUGGAACUAUUAAAAAUUUCGAAAAAUAACAGCAGUGGGCAAAACGACAGAUUUGCAAGAAACCAUAUUGCAAUGGACGACUAAGUGACGCCAGUUUGAGAUGCAACCAAACUCAUCCUACUCACUGUUUCGGGCAUCAGCCUCACUGUCCAGAUGCUGUCUUUCACGAUAGGUCCUGGAGCAACCGACAACGGUUGCCUACAUCCGGUCCUUGGAUCAUCAUGGCGUCGUCUUCAUCAGCUGAACCACUCGAUAACAUCUCCUAAGUUUGUCAUAAAAUAUGAACUGUAAUCGUUUUGUUAUUGUGCAUAUGCUACAUGUUAUAUUUUAAUUACACCAUGCUACCUGUGUGAGAAAACGAAAUCAAAAAUAAAGACAGUGUCUAAA